rnacentral:snRNA from 1 species
UUGCUUUGGCAAUACAGAGAAAAUUAGAAUAAUACAGAGAAAAUUAGCAUGGCCCCUAUGUGAGGAUGACAUGUAAAUUCAUUUCUUUAUUGUAUU